rnacentral:rRNA from 1 species
CAGCCGCGGUAAUACGAAGGGGGCGAGCGUUGUUCGGAUUUACUGGGCGUAAAGGGCGCGUAGGCGGCCCUUCUUGUCGCGUGUGAAAGCCCCGGGCUCAACCUGGGAAUGGCGCGCGAGACGGGGGGGCUGGAGUUCGGGAGAGGAGCGUGGAAUUCCCAGUGUAGAGGUGAAAUUCGUAGAUAUUGGGAAGAACACCGGUGGCGAAGGCGGCGCUCUGGACCGAGACUGACGCUGAGGCGCGAAAGCGUGGGGAGCAAACAGGAUUAGAUACCCUGGUAGUCCACGCCGUAAACGAUGUGUGCUAGACGUUGGGGAGCCUAGCUCUUCGGUGUCGCCGCAAACGCUUUAA